CCCUUAGAGUUUGAUCCUGGCUCAGGACGAACGCUGGCGGCGUGCCUAACACAUGCAAGUCGAACGGGACCGGGGGCAACUUCGGUUCAGUGGCGGACGGGUGCGUAACACGUGAGGAACAUGACCUUCGGCGGGGGAUAGCCGGCCCAACGGCCGGGUAAUACCGCGUACGACCUUUCGGGGACAUCCCUGGAUGGUGAAAGCAGCAAUGCGCCGAUGGAGUGCCUCGCGGCCUAUCAGCUAGUUGGUGGGGUAACGGCUCACCAAGGCAACGACGGGUAGCUGGUCUGAGAGGAUGGCCAGCCACAUUGGGACUGAGACACGGCCCAGACUCCUACGGGAGGCAGCAGUGGGGAAUAUUGCGCAAUGGACGAAAGUCUGACGCAGCGACGCCGCGUGUGGGAUGACGGUCUUCGGAUUGUAAACCACUGUCGGGAGGGACGAAUACGCCGCAAGGCGGGUGACGGUACCUCCAAAGGAAGCACCGGCUAACUCCGUGCCAGCAGCCGCGGUAAUACGGAGGGUGCGAGCGUUGUCCGGAAUCACUGGGCGUAAAGGGCGC
rnacentral:rRNA from 1 species